GAUGAAGAACGCAGCGAAAUGCGAUAAGUAAUGUGAAUUGCAGAAUUCCGUGAAUCAUCGAAUCUUUGAACGCACAUUGCGCCCCCUGGUAUUCCGGGGGGCAUGCCUGUCCGAGCGUCAUUGCAACCCUCAAGCGCGGCUUGUGUGUUGGGCUUCGUCCCCCCGUGGACGUGCCCGAAAGGCAGUGGCGGCGUCCCGAAUGGUGCCCGAGCGUAUGGGAACUCUCUUCCGCUCGAACCGGCCCAUUCGGCGCUGGUCGAACCCCAAUUUUUUUUACCGGUUGACCUCGGAUCAGGUAGGGAUACCCGCUGAACUUAAGCAUAUCAAUAAGCGGAGGA
rnacentral:misc_RNA from 1 species